rnacentral:tRNA from 2 species
GGGCGAUUAGCUCAGGUGGUUAGAGUACUUGCUUGACAUGCAAGGGGUCACUGGUUCAAGUCCAGUAUCGCCCACCA